rnacentral:rRNA from 1 species
GACGAACGCUGGCGGCGUGCUUAACACAUGCAAGUCGAACGGAAAGGCCCUGCGUUUGUGGGGUGCUCGAGUGGCGAACGGGUGAGUAACACGUGAGUAACCUGCCCUUGACUUUGGGAUAACUUCAGGAAACUGGGGCUAAUACCGGAUAGGAGCUCCUGCUGCAUGGGGGGGGUUGGAAAGUUUCGGCGGUUGGGGAUGGACUCGCGGCUUAUCAGCUUGUUGGUGGGGGAGUGGCUUACCAAGGCUUUGACGGGUAGCCGGCCUGAGAGGGUGACCGGCCACAUUGGGACUGAGAUACGGCCCAGACUCCUACGGGAGGCAGCAGUGGGGAAUAUUGCACAAUGGGCGGAAGCCUGAUGCAGCAACGCCGCGUGCGGGAUGACGGCCUUCGGGUUGUAAACCGCUUUCGCCUGUGACGAAGCGUGAGUGACGGUAAUGGGUAAAGAAGCACCGGCUAACUACGUG